AACGAACGCUGGCGGCAUGCCUAACACAUGCAAGUCGAACGAGAUCUUCGGGUCUAGUGGCGCACGGGUGCGUAACGCGUGGGAAUCUGCCCUUUGGUUCGGAAUAACAGUUGGAAACGACUGCUAAUACCGGAUGAUGACGAAAGUCCAAAGAUUUAUCGCCAGAGGAUGAGCCCGCGUAGGAUUAGCUAGUUGGUGUGGUAAAGGCGCACCAAGGCGACGAUCCUUAGCUGGUCUGAGAGGAUGAUCAGCCACACUGGGACUGAGACACGGCCCAGACUCCUACGGGAGGCAGCAGUGGGGAAUAUUGGACAAUGGGCGAAAGCCGGAUCCAGCAAUGCCGCGUGAGUGAUGAAGGCCUUAGGGUUGUAAAGCUCUUUUACCCGGGAUGAUAAUGACAGUACCGGGAGAAUAAGCUCCGGCUAACUCCGUGCCAGCCGCCGCCGUAAGAC
rnacentral:rRNA from 1 species